GGCGAAGUGGCCGAGUGGUUAAGGCGCUAUGUUUAGGUAAUCAAGUUGUUACUUAACACUUAAAUCCGUAGUGGGAAACCUCGCGAGUUCGAAUCUCGUCUUCGUCA
rfam:Fomitiporia mediterranea MF3/22 unplaced genomic scaffold FOMMEscaffold_6, whole genome shotgun sequence.